UACGUAGGUGGCGAGCGUUGUCCGGAUUUAUUGGGCGUAAAGCGCGCGCAGGCGGCGGUGCUGGCCCGGCGUGAAAGCCCCCGGCUCAACCGGGGAGGGUCGUCGGGGACCGCACCGCUUGAGGGCGGUAGGGGCUGGUGGAAUGCCUGGUGUAGUGGUGAAAUGCGUAGAGAUCAGGCGGAACACCCGUGGCGAAGGCGGCCAGCUGGGCCGUCCCUGACGCUGAGGCGCGAAGGCGUGGGGAGCGAACGGG
rnacentral:rRNA from 1 species